UUGCAGCUGAUGGUCUUGCCAGUCAGCACAAUUUAAUUAACUAAGGAGGAGCUUAUUUGUAAAGGAGUGGAGUAUUUGUAAAAGGAUGUGCUGUUUAGAGUUGCUUCAUCUGAAGGUUUUCGAUUACUGUUGUUAUUUACUGUAUUCAGUUUAUCUGACUGAGUUUUGGUCAGGAAGGAGUUGUAUCAUCUGAAGCAUAGCGAUGAUCAAUGUAUUCCAUGGACCAGCAACAAGAAUCACACCGGUUUUGGUGAAAAAAGUAAGGCUGAAGUGUUAACAACAACAAAAGCUAAUUUCUGGAAUAUAAAGAUAUUGCUGGGAUAUUCAACUUAUUUUGCUAUUGUUCAGUGAAGUGUUGCUUGCUUUCCUACUGAGCACAUCAUGUUCAAUCCGUAAUGCAAAUAGCUUCAGUUCCAACUCAUUUCAUCUCCAUGUUUUACUUGUUUGUAUCCCACAGAGCCACUCUUUUGAUGCCAGAUAUCUGCUUACUUCUUUUUUUUGUUUUGUUUAUUCGUUGCCCUGAUGCACAACUGAGCAACACAUUCUGUCAAUAAGAUAUAUUGGAAUACAUGGCUGUUUAUCUAGAAUAAUAAUGGUCAGCUGCUAUUAAAACUGGCAAGAUAACUGUCUCACAUAAUUUGCAUUACUUUAUUGUGAGGUGCUUAUUAAUUCUGACCUUUUAAUAUGGCUUUGCAGAUCAGAUAAUGUUAUAUUUUAAAAAUAUCUACUUAAAAAUCUCUCCAGGUUACUACAUUUACCCUACACGUGGAUGCAUAGUAUAUUUAUCUUUCACUAUCUGUCAUAUAAAACAAGCUUCUUUUUUAGAAAUUUCUUUCAAAGAUAUGCAUAUAGAUGCAUGCUAGGAUUAUUUUCAAAAUUAGUUGAGUAUCAUUG